rnacentral:rRNA from 1 species
GGGUUGUGAGGUUAAGCGACUAAGCGUACACGGUGGAUGCCCUGGCAGUCAGAGGCGAUGAAGGACGUGCUAAUCUGCGAUAAGCGUCGGUAAGGUGAUAUGAACCGUUAUAACCGGCGAUUUCCGAAUGGGGAAACCCAGUGUGAUUCGUCACACUAUCAUUAACUGAAUCCAUAGGUUAAUGAGGCGAACCGGGGGAACUGAAACAUCUAAGUACCCCGAGGAAAAGAAAUCAACCGAGAUUCCCCCAGUAGCGGCGAGCGAACGGGGAGCAGCCCAGAGCCUGAAUCAGUGUGUGUGUUAGUGGAAGCGUCUGGAAAGGCGCGCGAUACAGGGUGACAGCCCCGUACACAAAAAUGCACAUGCUGUGAGCUCGAUGAGUAGGGCGGGACACGUGGUAUCCUGUCUGAAUAUGGGGGGACCAUCCUCCAAGGCUAAAUACUCCUGACUGACCGAUAGUGAACCAGUACCGUGAGGGAAAGGCGAAAAGAACCCCGGCGAGGGGAGUGAAAAAGAACCUGAAACCGUGUACGUACAAGCAGUGGGAGCACGCUUAGGCGUGUGACUGCGUACCUUUUGUAUAAUGGGUCAGCGACUUAUAUUCUGUAGCAAGGUUAACCGAAUAGGGGAGCCGAAGGGAAACCGAGUCUUAACUGGGCGUUAAGUUGCAGGGUAUAGACCCGAAACCCGGUGAUCUAGCCAUGGGCAGGUUGAAGGUUGGGUAACACUAACUGGAGGACCGAACCGACUAAUGUUGAAAAAUUAGCGGAUGACUUGUGGCUGGGGGUGAAAGGCCAAUCAAACCGGGAGAUAGCUGGUUCUCCCCGAAAGCUAUUUAGGUAGCGCCUCGUGAAUUCAUCUCCGGGGGUAGAGCACUGUUUCGGCAAGGGGGUCAUCCCGACUUACCAACCCGAUGCAAACUGCGAAUACCGGAGAAUGUUAUCACGGGAGACACACGGCGGGUGCUAACGUCCGUCGUGAAGAGGGAAACAACCCAGACCGCCAGCUAAGGUCCCAAAGUCAUGGUUAAGUGGGAAACGAUGUGGGAAGGCCCAGACAGCCAGGAUGUUGGCUUAGAAGCAGCCAUCAUUUAAAGAAAGCGUAAUAGCUCACUGGUCGAGUCGGCCUGCGCGGAAGAUGUAACGGGGCUAAACCAUGCACCGAAGCUGCGGCAGCGACGCUGAUGCGUUGUUGGGUAGGGGAGCGUUCUGUAAGCCUGCGAAGGUGUGCUGUGAGGCAUGCUGGAGGUAUCAGAAGUGCGAAUGCUGACAUAAGUAACGAUAAAGCGGGUGAAAAGCCCGCUCGCCGGAAGACCAAGGGUUCCUGUCCAACGUUAAUCGGGGCAGGGUGAGUCGACCCCUAAGGCGAGGCCGAAAGGCGUAGUCGAUGGGAAACAGGUUAAUAUUCCUGUACUUGGUGUUACUGCGAAGGGGGGACGGAGAAGGCUAUGUUGGCCGGGCGACGGUUGUCCCGGUUUAAGCGUGUAGGCUGGUUUUCCAGGCAAAUCCGGAAAAUCAAGGCUGAGGCGUGAUGACGAGGCACUACGGUGCUGAAGCAACAAAUGCCCUGCUUCCAGGAAAAGCCUCUAAGCAUCAGGUAACAUCAAAUCGUACCCCAAACCGACACAGGUGGUCAGGUAGAGAAUACCAAGGCGCUUGAGAGAACUCGGGUGAAGGAACUAGGCAAAAUGGUGCCGUAACUUCGGGAGAAGGCACGCUGAUAUGUAGGUGAAGUCCCUCGCGGAUGGAGCUGAAAUCAGUCGAAGAUACCAGCUGGCUGCAACUGUUUAUUAAAAACACAGCACUGUGCAAACACGAAAGUGGACGUAUACGGUGUGACGCCUGCCCGGUGCCGGAAGGUUAAUUGAUGGGGUCAGCGCAAGCGAAGCUCUUGAUCGAAGCCCCGGUAAACGGCGGCCGUAACUAUAACGGUCCUAAGGUAGCGAAAUUCCUUGUCGGGUAAGUUCCGACCUGCACGAAUGGCGUAAUGAUGGCCAGGCUGUCUCCACCCGAGACUCAGUGAAAUUGAACUCGCUGUGAAGAUGCAGUGUACCCGCGGCAAGACGGAAAGACCCCGUGAACCUUUACUAUAGCUUGACACUGAACAUUGAGCCUUGAUGUGUAGGAUAGGUGGGAGGCUUUGAAGUGUGGACGCCAGUCUGCAUGGAGCCGACCUUGAAAUACCACCCUUUAAUGUUUGAUGUUCUAACGUUGACCCGUAAUCCGGGUUGCGGACAGUGUCUGGUGGGUAGUUUGACUGGGGCGGUCUCCUCCUAAAGAGUAACGGAGGAGCACGAAGGUUGGCUAAUCCUGGUCGGACAUCAGGAGGUUAGUGCAAUGGCAUAAGCCAGCUUGACUGCGAGCGUGACGGCGCGAGCAGGUGCGAAAGCAGGUCAUAGUGAUCCGGUGGUUCUGAAUGGAAGGGCCAUCGCUCAACGGAUAAAAGGUACUCCGGGGAUAACAGGCUGAUACCGCCCAAGAGUUCAUAUCGACGGCGGUGUUUGGCACCUCGAUGUCGGCUCAUCACAUCCUGGGGCUGAAGUAGGUCCCAAGGGUAUGGCUGUUCGCCAUUUAAAGUGGUACGCGAGCUGGGUUUAGAACGUCGUGAGACAGUUCGGUCCCUAUCUGCCGUGGGCGCUGGAGAACUGAGGGGGGCUGCUCCUAGUACGAGAGGACCGGAGUGGACGCAUCACUGGUGUUCGGGUUGUCAUGCCAAUGGCAUUGCCCGGUAGCUAAAUGCGGAAGAGAUAAGUGCUGAAAGCAUCUAAGCACGAAACUUGCCCCGAGAUGAGUUCUCCCUGACUCCUUGAGAGUCCUGAAGGAACGUUGAAGACGACGACGUUGAUAGGCCGGGUGUGUAAGCGCAGCGAUGCGUUGAGCUAACCGGUACUAAUGAACCGUGAGGCUUAACCUUACAACGCCGAAGGUGUUU